UCUGCGCCGAAAAUUUAACGGGGCUAAACUAUACACCGAAGCUUGGGAUACAUCUAAUGUAUGGUAGGAGAGCGUUCUGUAUGGGGAGAAGUCGUAGCGAAAGCGGCGGUGGACUAUACAGAAGUGAGAAUGCCGGAAUAAGUAGCGAGAAUUAAGUGAGAAUCUUAAUGGCCGAAAGUCUAAGGUUUUUGGAGGAAGGUUCGUCCGCUCCAAGUAAGUCGGGAGCUAAGGUCAGGCCGAAAGGCGUAGCCGAUGCACAUACGGUUGAUAUUCCGUAACCAUCUGUAAUUUAAGCAAAGGGACACUUCAAAAGGGUGUGACCCGGGCGUUGGUUGACCCGGGCGUAAGGGACCGAAAUUAGAGUAGGGAAGCACACUUGGCUGAAGGCGAGAAAAGCUUUGCGUAUAGAAACAGAUGCCCGUACCGCAAACCGACACAGGUGGACAGGAAGAGAAUUCUAAGGCCAGCGGGAGAAGGGUAGUUAAGGAACUCGGCAAAUUGACUCCGUAACUUCGGAAUAAGGAGUGCUCGAAAGAGCCGCAGAGAAUAGGCCCAGGCGACUGUUUAGCAAAAACACAGGUCUCUGCCAAAUCGAAAGAUGAAGUAUAGGGGCUGACACCUGCCCGGUGCCGGAAGGUUAAGAGGAGGAGUGAGAGCUCCGAAUUGAAGCCCCGGUAAACGGCGGCCGUAACAAUAACGGUCCUAAGGUAGCGAAAUUCCUUGUCGGGUAAGUUCCGACCCGCACGAAUGGUGUAACGAUCUGGGCACUGUCUCAACUACCCACCCGGCGAAAUUGUAGUACCGGUGAAGAUGCCGGUUACCUGCGGCAAGACGGAAAGACCCCAUGGAGCUUUACUGUAGCCUGAUAUUGGGUUUCGGAAAUCUAUGUACAGGAUAGGCGGGAGACUGGGAAACAUGAGCGUCAGCUUGUGUGGAGUCGAUGUUGGGAUACCGCCCUUAGGUUUCUGGAAUUCUAACCUGCGGCCGUGAAUCCGGUCGGGGGACAUUGUCAGGUGGGCAGUUUGACUGGGGCGGUCGCCUCCGAAAAGGUAACGGAGGCGCUCAAAGGUUAGCUCAGCACGGACGGAAACCGUGCCUCUGAGUGUAAACGCAAAAGCUAGCCUAACUGCGAGGGUGACGGCCCGAGCAGUAACGAAAGUUGGAGUUAGUGAUCCGGCGGUAUGUGAAUGGAAAUGCCGUCGCUCAACGGAUAAAAGCUACCCUGGGGAUAACAGGCUGAUCUCCCCCAAGAGUCCACAUCGACGGGGAGGUUUGGCACCUCGAUGUCGGCUCAUCACAUCCUGGGGCUGUAUUCGGUCCCAAGGGUUCGGCUGUUCGCCGAUUAAAGUGGUACGCGAGCUGGGUUCAGAACGUCGCGAGACAGUUCGGUCCCUAUCUGUCGUGGGCGCAGGAUAUUUGAGGAGCUCUGUCCUUAGUACGAGAGGACCGGGAUGGACGUACCUCUGGUGCACCAGUUGUCAUGCCAAUGGCACGGCUGGGCAGCUAUGUACGGAACGGAUAAACGCUGAAAGCAUCUAAGCGUGAAGCCGACUCCAAGAUUAGAUAUCCCAUCGUAUAACGAGUAAGACCCCUUGAAGACUACGAGGUUGAUAGGCUGCGUGUGUAAGUGCCGUGAGGCAUUCAGCUUGGCAGUACUAAUAGGUCGAGGGCUUGAUC
rnacentral:rRNA from 1 species